GGCGCAAGCGUUGUCCGGAAUUUUGGGCGUAAAGAGCUCGUAGGCGGUUUGUCGCGUCUGCUGUGAANCCCGGGGCUUAACCCCGGGUGUGCAGUGGGUACGGGCAGACUUGAGUGCAGUAGGGGAGACUGGAACUCCUGGUGUAGCGGUGAAAUGCGCAGAUAUCAGGAAGAACACCGAUGGCGAAGGCAGGUCUCUGGGCUGUUACUGACGCUGAGGAGCGAAAGCAUGGGGAGCGAACAGGAUUAGAUACCCUGGUAGUCCAUGCCGUAAACGUUGGGCACUAGGUGUGGGGGACAUUCCACGUUUUCCGCGCCGUAGCUAACGCAUUAAGUGCCCCGCCUGGGGAGUACGGCCGCAAGGCUAAAACUCAAAGGAAUUGACGGGGGCCCGCACAAGCGGCGGAGCAUGCGGAUUAAUUCGAUGCAACGCGAAGAACCUUACCAAGGCUUGACAUACACCGGAUCGGCUCAGAGAUGGGUUUUCCUCCUUGUGGGGCUGGUGUACAGGUGGUGCAUGGUUGUCGUCAGCUC
rnacentral:rRNA from 1 species